UUGAUUCUCAGGAGCAGUUCUCUGAUCUCAUCUGCAAACUCUUUUGAUACUUUGGGAUAGAAUUUGUAUUAACAGAAGUUUUGAAGUCAUUCAGAAUGCCACAUGACCAACGUGGGGUCACCAAUUGGAACAGGGAAGAGAUGUGCACAAUGGCCCUCUCUCCAGCUUGUGUGAGCCGGCUCCAACACACAUCCUGUGGAGCGAGAGUUUGGUUGCUGGGAGGACCAGCUCACUGACAGAUUAAAGUUACCAAGUUGAAGUGAUGAGCUUGAAUCCUUCUGCAGUCACACGUUUGGCCUAGCAGAGGUUGAAAUUUUUAAAAAAUGAAAUAGAACCACAAAGAAAAUAUCAGAACACAUUGCACUUAGUAAAGAACAAGGGGGAGUCUCCCUGCACAA
rnacentral:lncRNA from 10 species